rnacentral:lncRNA from 1 species
CAGUCUCACAAAGGAACAAAGGACACCAGAGAAGAAGGGUUUUCAGCAUAGUUUUUAUAUCUUUCCAGAACAAAGAAUAUACAUCAAACAUGUCAAAGAUACAUAUUUCUCAACGCUUCAAAUUACUUAAUCACUUAAUUACAGAUUAGCACAUAUGCAACAAGUCAACGCGACCCUGACGUCUGGGAAGUGAAACCGAUCUUCAAAGGAGUACUGGUUUUGGCAAGAUAGGAAGGAAGGCAUUCAUCCGCAUCUUCAAAGAGUGCACUCUUUACUUUGGGAUAAUGUUUAAUGCAUUCUUUACUUUAAUAAUUAAAGCUGAUGUACAAGGGACGCCUGGUGGUGUAGUGGUUAAGUUCAUGCACUCCGCUUCAGUGGCCUGGGGUUCAUGAGUUUGGAUCCUAGGUGCAGACCUACGCAUUGCUCAUCAAGCCAUGCUUCAGCAGUGUCCCACAUACAAAAAGCAGAGGAAGACUGGCACAGAUGUUAGCUCACGGGCCAGCCCCAUGGCCAAGUGGUUAAGUUCAUGCACUCCGCUUCAGUGGCUCAGGGUUUCGCCAGUUCGGAUCCUGGGCAGACAUGGCACUGCUCAUCAGGCCAUGCAGAGGUGGUGUCCCACAUAGCGCAACCAGAAGGACCUACAACUACAAUAUACAACUAUGCACUGGGGGGCUUUGGGGAGAAGAAGAAAACAAAAGAAGAAGGUUGACCACAGAUGUUAGCUCAGGUGCCAAUCUAUAAAAACAAACAAAAAAAAACCUCUUUAUGUACACCUGAAAUUUAUAUAAUGUUAUAAAUCAAAAUUACAGCAAUAAAAAAUAAAUACAUUUAAAAAGCAGAAGUACAAUGUAUGUUUGACAGGCCAUAAGGCAGGCUUCUUUAGUUCACCACAUACAGUUCAGGCGAAACCAGGUUUAAACCAGAAUACCUUCCCCAUAUACCUCAAUAUGUGAAACUUUCUUACACCAUUUUGAACACACAGGUUCACCAUGCCACCACUGACUCCACAAUCCCUCCAUCACUGAAUUAUAGAUUUGCCCGAUUAACUUCACAGAUUCCCCUGACCACUAAUCUCCAAAGACACGUCAACUAUUGACUACACAAACCACCAAUCAACACAACACACUUCUUUCAUUCGCCCCCAAAACCCAUAUCACUGACCUCCACAGACUCUCAUCACUGAUACACAACAAGGAACCCCACAGAAGUCUCCCCUCCCUCCAGGUCCUCUCAUCACCUCACUUGACCAACAGACUUCCACAGAGUACUUCCCUGAAGUUGGUCACCUAGGCAACCCCACAGCCCCCCUGCUGGGCACACUCGGUAACACCUUUGAGCAGAAGAUGCUGCGGAUCACAUGAUGAACCUCCAGGAACUCGGAUUCUGAACUUUUGAGGCCCUUAAAGGAGGAAACAUGCUGGCACCUGUGGAGUAGCCAUUUUUGAAGAUAAUUUUUAUUGACGCUGUGUUUCAUCCUGUGAUGCCCACAUAUCAAACUAACAAGCACCCUAAGACAAGCCUGUUCCCUUUGUUUACACCACCCAUGAAAGCAAGGUUCAAAGAGGUCUUUGAUCUAUUGAGAAUGGAUCCUGAUAUAUGACAUGAGGAAACAUUUGGCUGCAGUUUUCAGUUUCUGCCCACAGUCUCAGAAUCAUCUUCAUCACACACCCUCAAGGAUUCUACCAUCAGCCAGCCAUGUGCUCUCCUCAGAGACUGGAAACAAAGUUCCAUGGGGGUUCCUUCUCCAGGCUCCUGAGGAACUUGCAUCAGUCAUUUGUCCUCUUCAAGCAAGCACAAAGUUUCAAAUGAAUGAGUGGGGAGCAGUGACUUGUAACCUAAUUACUCCUACAUAAAAAAUAGGGUGACAUUUGUGAGAUUUUUCUUAUCACCCAGGGCCCUCUUCCCACAAGAUUGCGUAUUGUCAAUGGUGUUAGUAUCCUAGUAUAACUUUGGAUCUUUCCAUCUUUUUUUUUUCUGAGUACAAAUUUGAAGGACUGGUACAAAUGAAAAAACUUAAGUGGAUGCUUUAGUACAAUGUAUGGAAAAGGUCAAGGUAAACCCAAAAUGCAUGCACUACCAUGAUGACCAAAGAAGUCGCCCCCAUGGCUACUGUAAAACCAGCCUAAUGCUCAGCUCUCAUCAUCACUAUCUCCCAGGGUAUGCUUGUCAGAGAAACUAUGCCAUGCCAGCUUUGGCAUUUAGUGUACCAAUACACAUUUCUUAUUUCUGAAAAAUUAUGAGGCAGAAUGUUGCUGAAAACCUUGCUUUAUUCACUGCUGUGUAAUAAAGGGUUGACUUACCAGGUUUGGGGUAUUCAAACCCUGCACGUUCCAAAGAAAGGACUGGCCCUUGUCUGGUACCUGGGAGGUAACCUCUAGCCUCUUAUAAGAGCAUUUUUGUAUACCUGGGGUUGGGGCCAUGCCAUAUAGUUUAAGGUAGCAAUGCGACUCUUGGUGAACACCUGCUUUCGUCUGCCUGGGGCUCUGGGCCGUGCUGUAUCACUCUGACCUUUAGGAGGCUGGAGUGUCAGAAGUUCAGUUGAGUCAUGUGGUUAGUCCAGGCCCACAUAACUAACCCCCAGUAAAAACCCUGGGCAAAAAGGCUCAGGUGAGCUUCCCUGGCUGCCAGUACUCCAUAUGUGUUGUCACAUGAUUGCUGGAAGAAUUAAGCACUGUCUAUACAAGCCCACUGAGAAAGGGAAACUGGAAGUAUGCGCCAUUUUCUUCUGGACGCUGUCCUAUGCACCCUUUACAUUUGCUAAUUUCAACCUAUAGCUUUUCACUAUAAUAAACUGUAACCAUAAGUAUAGCAGCUUUU